rnacentral:rRNA from 1 species
UCGAGCGCACGGAUGUUGGGCUUGCUCCUUUGAAGUUAGCGGCGGACGGGUGAGUAACACGUGGGUAACCUACCUAUAAGACUGGAAUAACUUCGGGAAACCGGAGCUAAUGCCGGAUAACAUUUGGAACCGCAUGGUUCUAAAGUAAAAGAUGGUUUUGCUAUCACUUAUAGAUGGACCCGCGCCGUAUUAGCUAGUUGGUAAGGUAACGGCUUACCAAGGCAACGAUACGUAGCCGACCUGAGAGGGUGAUCGGCCACACUGGAACUGAGACACGGUCCAGACUCCUACGGGAGGCAGCAGUAGGGAAUCUUCCGCAAUGGACGAAAGUCUGACGGAGCAACGCCGCGUGAGUGAUGAAGGUUUUCGGAUCGUAAAACUCUGUUAUUAGGGAAGAACAAAUGUGUAAGUAACUGUGCACAUCUUGACGGUACCUAAUCAGAAAGCCACGGCUAACUACGUGCCAGCAGCCGCGGUAAUACGUAGUGGCAGCGUUAUCCGGAUUAUUGGGCGUAAAGCGCGCGUAGGCGGUUUCUUAAGUCUGAUGUGAAAGCCCACGGCUCAACCGUGGAGGGUCAUUGGAAACUGGGAAACUUGAGUACAGAAGAGGAAAGUGGAAUUCCAUGUGUAGCGGUGAAAUGCGCAGAGAUAUGGAGGAACACCAGUGGCGAAGGCGACUUUCUGGUCUGUAACUGACGCUGAUGUGCGAAAGCGUGGGGAUCAAACAGGAUUAGAUACCCUGGUAGUCCACGCCGUAAACGAUGAGUGCUAAGUGUUAGGGGGUUUUCCCCCCUUAGGGUGGCAGGAAACCCAUUAAGCCCUUCCCCCCUGGGGGUUACGACCCCCAAGGUUGAAAUUCAAAAGGAAUUGCGGGGGACCGCCCCAAGCGGGGGGGCCCUGGGGUUUAAUUUGGAACAAACGGGAAGAACCUUACCCAAUCUUGCAUUCCUUUGAAAACUUUAAGAGAUAGAGCCUUUCCCCUUCGGGGGACAAAGUGACAGGUGGUGCAUGGUUGUCGUCAGCUCGUGUCGUGAGAUGUUGGGUUAAGUCCCGCAACGAGCGCAACCCUUAAACUUUAGUUGCCAGCAUUUAGUUGGGCACUCUAGGUUGACUGCCGGUGACAAACCGGAGGAAGGUGGGGAUGACGUCAAAUCAUCAUGCCCCUUAUGAUUUGGGCUACACACGUGCUACAAUGGACAAUACAAAGGGCAGCUAAACCGCGAGGUCAUGCAAAUCCCAUAAAGUUGUUCUCAGUUCGGAUUGUAGUCUGCAACUCGACUACAUGAAGCUGGAAUCGCUAGUAAUCGUAGAUCAGCAUGCUACGGUGAAUACGUUCCCGGGUCUUGUACACACCGCCCGUCACACCACGAGAGUUUGUAACACCCGAAGCCGGUGGAGUAACUCAUUUAUGGACAAAGCCGUCGAAG